rnacentral:rRNA from 1 species
CCUACGGGAGGCAGCAGUGAGGAAUAUUGGUCAAUGGACGGGAGCCUGAACCAGCCAAGUAGCGUGCAGGAAGACUGCCCUACGGGUUGUAAACUUCUUUUAUAAAAGGAUAAAGUGAGACACGUGUGCCUUUCUGUAUGUACUUUAUGAAUAAGGAUCGGCUAACUCCGUGCCAGCAGCCGCGUUAAUACGGAGGAUCCAAGCGUUAUCCGGAUUUAUUGGGUUUAAAGGGAGCGUAGAUGGGUUGUUAAGUCAGUUGUGAAAGUUUGCGGCUUAACCCGAAAAGUGCCAUUGAUACUGGUAGUCUUGAGUACAGUUGAGGUAGGCGGAAUGUGUGGUGUAGCGGUGAAAUGCUUAGAGAUCACGCAGAACUCCGAUUGCGAAGGCAGCUUACUAAACUGUAACUGACAUUGAUGCUCGAAAGUGUGGGUAUCAAACAGGAUUAGAUACCCUUGUAGUC